CGCGGCCUAUCAGCUUGUUGGUGAGGUAACGGCUAACCAAGACGACGACGGGUAGCCGGCCUGAGAGGGUGACCGGCCACACUGGGACUGAGACACGGCCCAGACUCCUACGGGAGGCAGCAGCGGGGAAUAUUGCACAAUGGGCGCAAGCCUGAUGCAGCAACGCCGCGUGAGGGACGACGGCCUUCGGGUUGUAAACCUCUUUUAGCAGGGAAGAAGCGAAAGUGACGGUACCUGCAGAAAAAGCACCGGCUAACUACGUGCCAGCAGCCGCGGUAAUACGUAGGGUGCAAGCGUUGUCCGGAAUUAUUGGGCGUAAAGAGCUCGUAGGCGGUUUGUCGCGUCUGCUGUGAAAACCCGAGGCUCAACCUCGGGCCUGCAGUGGGUACGGGCAGACUAGAGUGCGGUAGGGGAGAUUGGAAUUCCUGGUGUAGCGGUGGAAUGCGCAGAUAUCAGGAGGAACACCGAUGGCGAAGGCAGAUCUCUGGGCCGUAACUGACGCUGAGGAGCGAAAGCGUGGGGAGCGAACAGGAUUAGAUACCCUGGUAGUCCACGCCGUAAACGUUGGGAACUAGAUGUAGGGACCAUUCCACGGUUUCUGUGUCGCAGCUAACGCAUUAAGUUCCCCGCCUGGGGAGUACGG
rnacentral:rRNA from 1 species